rnacentral:misc_RNA from 1 species
CCUGAUGCCAACAAAGCAAUUGCAAAAAGUUUUGAACUCCAUCUACCCAAAACAUUUUUAAGCAAAAAAGAAGCCUUGUUCAAGUCCAAGUCCUUGCAUUUUGACUGAUCUUCUGGAUUUAAAUUUGAGGAAUUGCAAACAGCACCACUUACAGAAAUAACGGAUACAUUAAUGAAAAAGGCCAGUGUGAGAGCGAAGGCACUUUCUAUCAAGUAAAAUCUACAAGCCUCCUUGAUACCAGGAAUGGAUCGUGGGACUUUCCUAGAAAGNNNNNNNNNNNUGCCGAAUGAAGGAAGAGAUUGUGAGGCAUAACCAUGGCACCAAGCAGUGAAAUUGCAAGG